CUCUUCAUGUAACACGUUGGCCUAAGAGAUCUAUAGAGCUUUUUAAAAACAAAGAAGGCAGCAAGAUUUAAAAUAAUAAAACCAGCUUACUGUAAAUUAGAGGGAGCAAAUUGGAGGAGAAAUGACAAAAGAAACAGAAAAAAUGUUUAAUCAGACAAAGGAACUAAAAAACCUCAGUCUUAAUUAGAAGAUGGUCAAACAAAUCUCUUAACUGAUGUUCACAAUGAUGGUUUCAAGUCAUCUAAGGAAUGGGAGAAAAUACAACUGGUGAAUUGCAAAGAUAUUAAGAAAUUUUUUUCAUGACCUCCAAAGAAUAAAAUUAUAAAACUUAUUCUUACCUUUUUGUUUCCUGUAAACGUGUGGUAUAUUCCCCUUGUCCCUCACGACAAACUUCUCUAUGAUUUCCUCAAUGGUUAAGGCCCCAAAUGAUACAUUAAAAAAUAUACAUUUGUUUUAUAUUUUCAAAGUAUUCUUAAUCUUUAAUUAGGAACUACACUGAAACUCUGUUGUCAAUGCCCCUACGAAGACUGAAAGAGAUGUGAUGGUUUUAAGACUGGUGCCUAUGGUCAAAAGAAUAUACUGACUGCUUCCAAAUGUCUAUAAAUAAAUUAUGGUUUCUUAAAGGCCCA
rnacentral:lncRNA from 1 species